rnacentral:tRNA from 1 species
UCCGCAGUAGCUCAGCGGUAGAGCGAUUCCCUGUUAAGGAAUGGGUCGUAGGUUCGAAUCCUACCUGCGGAGCCA